UACUCUCACAAAAUUUGAUUCCUUUAUUCUCAGAUUCUGAUUUUCCCAUUCAAAGAUUCGACCCUUUUUUUUUUUUUUGUUCUGAUUCAAUUGAAACAAAUCUGAUUAUGUUGAGGUUGUUGUGUUCAUAGGUACGUGAAGAGAAUCUAUGGUUAUCUUGUGACCGUGAAGAUCAAAGGGCUUUUACUAACGCGUAUGGAUUCCACAUAUGCUGGUGAUUUCAUCGUUUGUUUUAUCAGUGUGGUUCAGAUCUUGGAGCUUCUGGGUGGCCAAAGGACGCUGUAUCGGCUUACCAUGCCACUACUAAUUCAUGCUAUGGUGAUUUCGUUCAACCAGACCAGGUGACCAAUCAUAGCAUUGAGAAAAACUUCACAUAAGGGAGGGGGCUAAAGAUUCGAGCUCGACAGCCUCAGAACCGUUCGAGUACAAGAUUGAUAAAACCAGGGCAUUGCUCCUAGAAGAAUCUGUCUGCAGGUGCAUUCUAGCUCUGUACCUCCUGAUGAUAAGAAUCAAAUUGAAGUAAAACACCGGGAAGAGGUGAAUGAAGGACUCACUGAUAUUCCUGAGGACAAACAAGUUGUAGCUAAAGACUCAGAGAAGAGUGAUUCUUUGGUGAAACCUCAAAUAAAGCUCAGGACGCGGGGAACUAUAGGGCAAGUGAAAGCAGACAGAGUUGUAGAGGACGAGUUGUGCAGAAAUUGUAUGUGUUUGAAAGGUUUAAGCUAAGUAUAAGCUAUGUCGAAGCUAACAAAGGUAAUGUGCUGGAAAUUGAUGACAAUUAAGAAAGAUGAACUGAAUGAAGUUGGUGCUGCCAUUUACCAGAAGCCAAUGUCGAAUAAAUGCUACAAUGAAAGAUCUCAAAAUGAGCCACCUCUCUGCAAAGACUCUGAUGAUCAAAAUGCCGCCUGAAUGUUCCACCUGAGGCAUGUAUGCACAAGGUAACAGAAGAUUCAUCAAAACGCGGAGUAGUUUGGCCUGAAAGUUGGCCUAAAAGAGUGGAGACUGUUCCUCAGUGGUUAGAUUCUCAUAAAGGUGUAUAUGGAAAACCUGCACAAGAGGAUUUCACAGCAGACCAUGAACGCUGGAAGACUAUUGUUUCAAAGUCAUACCUCAACGGUAUGGGAAUUGACUAGUCUUAUGUGAGAAAUGUAAUGGACGUGAGAGCUGUGUAUGGAGGGUAAGCAAAAGCUUAUGCAAUCUUAAAACACAUAUUUAAUUAAAAAAAUUAGACACCCAAGGAUGACUAAUGGGAGGACAAAAA